UACGUAGGGGGCAAGCGUUUGUCCGGAUUUAUUGGGCGUAAAGAGCGUGUAGGCGGCCUGAAAGGUCAGCUGUGAAAACUCGAGGCUCAACCUCGAGACGUCGGUUGAAACCAUCUGGCUAGAGUCCGGAAGAGGAGAGUGGAAUUCCCGGUGUAGCGGUGAAAUGCGCAGAUAUCGGGAGGAACACCGGUGGCGAAGGCGGGUCUCUGGGCAGUAACUGGACGCUGAGGAGCGAAAGCGUGGGGAGCGAACAGG
rnacentral:rRNA from 1 species